AGUGCUUGGCUGCGGCAGCUAGGUUUCCGGGCUCCCCCCGAGUCACCCUAGGGGGAGGGCGACGCGAGGGUUGCGAGAGUUGUACGAGAUCACAUCUGUAUUUCGACUACGCAUGCAUAUAGAAGUAAUAAAAGUGAGUACUAAUUAGCUGAUAUGAGUAAAUGCAAUGCGUCAUAAACCUUGUCUAUUUUUGAAAUACACGUAAAUUUAACCGUACCUUGUAAACUAUAACGAAAGAAGUAUAACGUUUAUUAUGAUACUCGACCAUUUUUUCAUUUAAUUAUAUGUUACCUUAUUAAAAUUAAUUAGUUGGCAUGUAUGAUAC
rnacentral:lncRNA from 1 species